CAGUCAUACCAACGGGAAAUCAACCUUUUGAGCUCGGUCUCGUGGGUUUUGAAGAGUUUCAAAGCCUUCGGAUUCGCGGGAUUGGGGAUCUCUUGGCGUACUUUUUCGUACGGUUAGUCAACAUCGGUUUUGAAUGUCAUAAAAUGACUGGAGGAAUGUAGCUUCGAUCUCGUAUUGAAGUGUUAUAGACUCUGGUAGAUGUGACGGUUGGGAUUGAGGAUUGGCAACGGAUACCCUUCGGGGGCUACCCGGUCUGAUCGUCUGAAGGUUGCUCCGGUGCCGAAAGCGUGCUUACGGUCAGUCGAAAGU
rnacentral:rRNA from 1 species